rnacentral:rRNA from 1 species
UACGAAGGGGGCUAGCGUUGCUCGGAAUCACUGGGCGUAAAGCGCACGUAGGCGGAUUGUUAAGUCAGGGGUGAAAUCCUGGAGCUCAACUCCAGAACUGCCUUUGAUACUGGCGAUCUUGAGUCCGGUAGAGGUGAGUGGAACUGCGAGUGUAGAGGUGAAAUUCGUAGAUAUUCGCAAGAACACCAGUGGCGAAGGCGGCUCACUGGCCCGGUACUGACGCUGAGGUGCGAAAGCGUGGGGAGCAAAUAGG